rnacentral:ncRNA from 1 species
AGAUUAUUUUAUUUUAGUAAAAUUUUUUAUUUUUAUUUUAUUUUACAUGUAAAUUUUUGUAUGAAUUAAUUUUGUAUUUAAAAUAUAAAAUUUAUUUAUUUAUUCGCAGUAAUUAAUAUUAAUUUAAAAAAGAAAUUUUGUAUUAGUAAUAAUAUAUAGUAUUGGUAAAAUUUGUGCCAGCUACCGCGGUUAUACAAAUAAUACAAAUAAAAUUUUUUAGUAUUAGUUAAAUUUUAUGAUUUAAUAAUAUAAAUAUAAAUUUAUUGGGUAAAAUUUUUAAAUUUAUUUAUUUAUUAUUAAAAAAAAUUAUUUAAGCUAUAAACUUUUUGUUAUAAACUAGGAUUAGAUACCCUAUUAUUAAAAAUAAAUAUUAAAAUAUUAAAGUAGUAUUAGUUAUAUUCUUAAAAUUUAAAAAAUUUGGCGGUGUUUUAGUCUUUUUAGAGGAAUCUGUCCUAUAAUUGAUAAUCCACAUUGAACCUUACUUAGAUUUAUUAAAUUUGUAUAUCGCCGUCAUCAGAAUAUGUUAAUAGAUAAAAAUUUUCUUAAUAUUUUAUUAAAUAAAAUGUCAGGUCAAGGUGCAGUUUAUAUUUAAGUAGAGAUGGAUUACAAUAAAUUUAUUUAAAUGGAUAAAUUUUUGAAAUAAAAUUUUAAAAGUGGAUUUAAUAGUAAUAUAAAAUAGAUUAUUUAUAUGAUUUUAGCUCUAAAACAUGUACAUAUCGCCCAUCGUUCUUAUCUUUAAAAUAAGAUAAGUUGUAACAUAGUGGAUGUACUGGAAAGUGUAUCUAGAAAGAC